ACCUCAGAGCCGCGGCUGCCAGGAGUAACUACCUUUCAGGCCUCCGCGGCCUCUCCUACGCCGGCAGCGCUCGGCCUGGGGGUGAGGGGGGCGGGGGGGGGGGGGGGGAAGCGACCCCGGCGGCGCGGAACCCACCGCGAUGCUCGGGCGCCAUCUCGCGUCCGUUCCUUUGGCCGCCGGGUGGCAGCCCGGAAACUACGAUUCCCACCGUGCCUAGCGCGUCCGCGCAGGCGCGGAGAGCCUCUCUCGUUUCCAUGGGAACCUCGCCCUCUAGAGUCCCAGGUGCUUGACUUCUGCGGGGCGCGUGGCUGUUGUUCCCCCUCAGGUGCCCUCGCGCUAGGCUGGGUCUGCGGACAGCCGAGGGGGCAGAAUAGGGGGCUUGAGGGGAGGAGGCCAGGCGGCUCUGCCUCCCCGGACCAGCGCUGCCAAAUUCUCGGCGUCCGGCGGUCCGCGCGCUUCCUGGGCCUGGGAGUUUGAGGCGGAGGGGCCCGGGGAGGCCCGGGUUGGCGAGGCCAGCGUCCGUCCGGCUCUGACCCGCGCAGCCCGCCUCGCUCCGCGCCAGCGCCCUGUCCCCGGCCGAAAGCCUGCGCGCCGCAGACAGAUGGGGGAUGGCGCCGGACUCUUCUGGAGGGACCCAGAACCGGUUGUUCUUUCAUCUUCCCGGCAGCCCGCACGUCCACUCUGGAGUCCUGCUCGUCCAGUUUGCUCCCACUCCACUGGCUGCGGAUUCAAGAAGCUUGGCAAGCCACAAACAGGAUGAGCAAAGGAAAAUCACACCUGGAGUAAGCAUGUCAUAGUCCAAGUGCUGAAAACCAGAGGUAAAGAAAACAUUUUGAGAGCAGGUAGGUUCCAUAUCGGGGAACAGUGAUGUGGAAGAGUGGAGGACAGAGACAGUGAGCUCACACUCUGAAGUGCUGACAAAGAAGACAAUCUAGAAUUCUGUAGCCAAUGAAAAUAUCUUGCAGUAGGAGAGACAGGUAAAGACAUUUUAUGAAAAAUGAUAGAGGAUGGGGCUCCCGGGUGGCUCGGUCAGUGAAGCAGCCGACUCCUGAUUUGGGCUCAGGUCAUGAUCUCGUGGUUUGUGAGUUCAAAACCUGCACUGGGCUCUGUGCUGGCAGCGUGGAGCCUGCUUGGGAGUCUCUCUCCCUCUCUUUCGGCCCCUUCCCCACUCUCUCCCUCUCUCAAAAUAAGUAAAUAAAUAAACAUGUACAUACAUACACACAUACAUAAAACUUCAAAAGAAAAAGAGCGACAGAGAAGAGACUUUGCUGCCGGCAGGCCUGUGCUCCGAGAAAUGCUAAAGCGCGUUCUUCAGUCUGAAAGGAAAUUUGGGAACUUGGACCCAUAGGAAGGAAUGAAGCACCACAGAAAUGGUAAAAGUUGGGUAAAUUUAAAAGCAUUACUUUUUUGUUUUCUCAAUUUCCACAAAAGACCAGUAUCUAUUUACAGCAAAAGUAAUAUUAUCAUAAGAUACAGUUUAUGACCUAUGGAGGAAUAAAAUAUAAUAGUAGAAAUAAUGGGAGAGCAAAUAAACUUAUAUUGUUGUAAGGCUCUAAUAUCUGUGAAAUGUGAAGUUCAAGUAGAUUGUGAUCAACUAGUGAUGUGUACUAUAAUUUCUUUUUUUUUUAUAUUUAUUCUUGAGAGAGAGAGCGAGUGAGUGAGCACAAGCUGGGGAGGGACAGAGAGAGAAGGAGACACAGAAUCCAUAGCAGGCUCCAGGCUCUGAGCUGUCAGCACAGAGCCCGACGCAGGGCUCAAACUCACGAACUGUGAGAUCAUGACCUGAGCCGAAGUUGGAUGCUCAACCUACUGAGCCACCCAGGCGCCCCUACAUACUAUAAUUUCUAAGGCAACCAUUAAAAAAUAAUAAAAAGAGAUCUAGCUAAAAAGCAAAAAAGGAAGUAAAAUAUAAUAUUAAUGAUAGUUAAAUCCUGACUAUUGAAUUAUAAUAUGUAAAUAUGGUAUUAAUUAUAUUCAGUUCCUCAGAAGAAGGCAGGAAGAGAUGAACUGAGGAAUUAAAGGACACAUAGAAAAAAAGCAGUAAGGUGACAGACCUUGCUCUGUUUCUCCAAAUUCAUAUGAUGAAAUCCUCACUUCCAGCACCUCAGAAUGCGACUGUAUUUGGAGCCAGAGCCCCUGCAGAGAUACUAAGUUAAAAUGAGGUCAUUCGGCUGGACCCUAAUCCAGUAUGACUGGUGUCCUUACAAGAAGAGAUUCGGGUACAGACACAUACAGAAGGAAAAGAACGUGAAGACGCAGGGAGAAGUCAGCCGUCGACCAGACAAGGAGAGAGGCCUGGAACAGAUCCUUCUCUCACAGCCCUCAGAAGGAACCAGUUCUGUCAACGCCUUGAUCUCAGACUUCUAGCUUCCAAAACUGUGAGAAAAGAAAUCUCUGUUGUUGAAGCCACCCAAUCUGUGGUACUUUGUUACGGUGGCCCCAGCAGACUAAACCCAGACUAACACAGACUAAACCUAGGCCUAAACCCAGCUGUAUGAAUAAUUCCAGUAAAUGUAAAUAUUCCAGUUAAAACACAGAGCUUGUCAAGACCCCACUAUACAAUAGGUAAAAGAGAGAGAAUUUCUCUACAGACACGGAAAGUAAAAGGAUGAAAACAGAUACGCUAGGCACUUAGAAAGCACACGAAGCUGGUACAGCUACAUUCGUAUCAGGCCAGGUUAACGUCCAGACAAGGAGAAUUAGAGAUAAAGAGAGGCAUUUCGUAAUCUGAAAAGGACCCACUGAACAGGAAGCUGUAACCCUAAAUGGAUAUGCACCUGAUAGCAGAGCUACAAAAAAACUGAAGUAAAAACUGACAGAACUAAGGGGGAAAAAAGGCAAAUGCGUAAUCACAGAGAUUGGAAAACUCUUCGUUGGUAAUUGAUAAGUGAUUAACUAGACAAAAAAAGCAAUAGGACAUAGAAAGUCUGAGCGGGACGACCAACUUGACGGAGCCGACAUGGUAUGUAUCUGCGGGAACUCUAUCCCAUGAUAUUGCAGGACCGCAGUGUUUGGAGGCACGCAUAGAGCGCUCCCUGAAAUAGAUCGUAUCCUCGGCACGAAACAAACUGCGAAAGAUGAAAAUCUCACAGAAUAUGCUCUCUUAAAUCAGAAAGAAAUAAUAAUAUAUCUGGAAAACCCCAAAUGUUUAAAAAUUAAAGAAUAUAUUUCUAGGGCUGCCUGGUUGGCUCAGUUGGUGGGACCUGCAACUCUUGUUCUCUGGGUCAUGAGUUCAGGCCCCACCUUGUGUAGAGAUUACUUAAAAAUAAAAUCUUAAAACAAAACAUAUAUAUAUAUAUAUAUAUAUAUAUAUAUAUAUAUAUAUAUAUAUAUGAUUCAUGAGUCAAGGAAGAAAACACAAUGAAGGCAAAAUAUCUCAAACUGAACAAAAGCACAGCGUAUCAGAAUUUGUGUAGUGUAGCUGAGAGAAGUGCUUUAGAGGGAAAUUGAGAGCUUUAAAUCCGAAAAAGAGAAAGCUUUAAAAUCAGUAUUCUAUGAUUCUACCCUAAGAAGCUGGAAGAAGUUUGGCAGGUUUUCCCAAAAGUUAAAUAUUUUUACCAUAUGACCCAGCAAUUCUACUCCUAAAUAUAUACCCAAGAGAACUGAAAACAUAUAUUUAUACAAAAACCAGUACACAAAUGUUUAUAGAUGCAUUAGUCCUAUAGUCAAAAAGUCGAAACAAAGAGCAAAAUAAAAUAAGCAAAAAAAAAAAAAAAAAAAAAAAAAAAAAAAAAAAAAAAAAAAAAAAACAAGUUAAAUCCCCAAAAAUGAGUAAUGAGAGCAGGAAUUAGUGAAAUGGAAAUACAUAAAGAACAGAGAAAGUUAGCAAAACCAAAAGUUGGUUCUUUGAAAAAAAUCAGUGAAAUUGAUAAACCGCUAGCAAGAUGGAUUAAGAAAAAAAAGAGGGAAAAUGCAAAUUACCAAUUAUCAAGAACAAAAGGGUGAAAGAGAGCAAAGGAGAGUAAGGAAACUUUCAGGCUGAUCCAAUAUUCUAGAUCUUAAUUGGGUUGAUGGUUACCCCAGUGUAUACAUUUACCAAAACUAUAUGCUUAAAAUCUGUAGAUAAAUUAUAUUUCAAUAAAGUGAAAAAAAUUUAUGAAUUCUAGGGGCGCCUGGCUGGCUCAGGAGGUAGAGGUCCCAAUUCUUGACCUCGGAGUCAUGAUUUUAAGCCCCACAUUGGGUGUAGAGCUUACUUAACAGCGACAACAACAACAAAAUUCUGCAUACUGUUAUCUCCAGUUCAGAUCUGACAUUUCUGGAUUUUUCCUCACCUUCCUUCAGUCCAUAUUUUUUAUCUCCCUUUUUUUCACAGUGUAAUCUCUGAUUUCCAACAUCUAUAUAUUUAUUCAUUUUUUUGUAUCUUUCAUACAAAAACAACAGUUUUAGAAUUCCUACGCUGAUAUUAUCAACAACAAACCAAUUAAGUAAAGCUCAAGUGUUUUUUGGGUUUUUUUUUGUAGUCCUUAGGAAGUCCAUGAACUGUAUUGAACAUUUAUUUGAAUUCUUGUGUUAUUUUUUCUGUACAAUUAUGUUACCAUUCAUUUCUGGUUUACUCCUCCUGUGUUUCUUUUUUCAGAUAGAUAUCUUAUUUUCUUAUUUUCCCUUCUUUCUUACACAAAGGUAGCAUACUACAUAUUUGGCAAUCUAUCAUGGAAAUCACUCUGUAUCAGCUAAUGAAAAUCUUUUUUUUUUUUUUUAAUAGCUACACAGUAUUGCACUGAUGGGUUUAUUUAAUCAGCUUCCAUGGAACGUGGGUGCUUUCCAACAUUCUGCCAUUACAAAUAAUGCCACAGUGAAUAAGCUUGUGCAUACGUUGCUAUAGGUCUGUGGAAGUGAAUCUUCGGGAGAAAUUCCUAGAAAUAGCAUUUCUGGGUCAGAGGGUAAAUGCCAUUCUGUCUCAUUAGCACCACCAAAUUCCUCUCUCUGGGAGGCUGGGCCAAUUUUAUGCUCUUACAAGUUUCCCCUCAGCUUGCCAACUGAGAUAUACUGUCCAAGUUUUUUAGUUUUUGCCAAUCUUAUUUAAAGGUGGGAAUCUUGGGAUGCCUGGGUGGCUCAGUAGUAGGUUAAGCGUCUGACUUUGGCUCAGGUCAUGAUUUCGCAGUUCGUGGGUUCGAGCCCCACAUCCGGCUCUGCGCUUACAGUGCGGAGCCUGCUUGGGAUUCUCUGUCUCCCUCUUUAUCUGCCUCUCCCCUGCUAGCUCUUUCUCUCUCUCUCUCUCUCUCAAAAAAAAAAAAAAAAAAAAAGUGGGCAUCUUGUCAUAUAUUUAAGGGUAGACUAGAAACUCUUUAAGGCUCAGAACCCAAGGUGCGGACUUCACAUACUGCUCACACUAACAGGUGCCCCUGCCCUGUACUUGUUAAAUGAGUAAAGGAAAAAACUGGUCGGACCUCUACCGGACUCAUCAUGUUGGGACUGUUGUGAAACCGGUCACCAUGACAGUUGACUCAUGUCCCAGUGUGGGCAGUGCCAGACGCCUGGCUGGGAGCUAGUGAAAAAGAAGAGGAGACGGGUCUCCCCCGCCUGCCAACACUCCCCCUCCCCCCCAGAACAGGUAGAAGACCCUUCUCUCCCCGUGGAACGUAGUAAGAGUACAGCUUUAUGAGUCCAGAGAUAUCCACAGAGCCAUUGCAAUGCAUGACACAAUGCCCCCUUUACCCUAGUAGAAUUGUCUCUAGUAUUUUUUUUUUAAUGUUUGUUUAUCAUUGAGGAGGGGGAGGGGGAGAGAGGGAGGGAGACACAGAAUCCAAAUCAGGCUCCAGGCUCUGAGCUGUCAGCAGAGAGCCCGAUGCGUGGCUCAGAUCCACAAUUGGAACCGUGAGAUCAUGACCUGAGCUGAAGUUGGAUGCUUAACUGACUGAGCCACCCAGGCGCCCCUCUAGUAUUUAUACUAUUUGUUAAAUAUGUCGGCACGAACAUGGUAAGACUUUUUUUUUCCUUCUUUUUUUUUUUUUUAAGUGUAUUUAUUUGAGAGAAAGAGUGCAAGUGGGAAAGGGGCAGAGAGAGGGAGAGACAGAAUCCCAAGCGGUCUCCGCACUAUCAGUGCAGAGCCCAAUGCAGGGCUCGAACUCACAAACUAUCAGAUCUGAGCCAAGAUCAAGAAUUGGGUGCUCAACCAACUGAGCCACCCAGGCGCCCCGAGAUUUUUUUCUUAUUGAUUGAUUAAAUAGGUAAGACAGCUGCAGAGUUCAAAAUUCAAAAGUACUGUCAAUGAAGAUUUCCCUUCAUUCCCUAUUUCCAACCCACCAAAUUACCUUCCUCUCAAAGGUAACUAAUGGCAUCAAUUCCCUAGGUGUCCUUUCAGAGAUAUUUAUGCACAAUACAAGUGAAUACACACAUCUUUACCCAAAUAGUAGCCUGUUCUAUAAAUCCUUUUUUUCCCCAUUUCACCUUCUUCACAUAUAUUUUUUUUUAAAUUGAUUUGAAUCCUCAGCAGCUUUUUUUUUUAAGUUUACUUAUUUUUGAGACAGAGAGAGACAGAGCAUGAGUGGGGGAGGGGCAGACACAGAAUCGGAAGCAGGCUCCAGGCUCUGAGCUGUCAGCCCAGAGCCCCACGCGGGGCUCAAACUCACAGACCGCGAGAUCAUGGCCUGAGCUGAAGUCAGAUGCUUAACCGACUGAGCCACCCAGGUGCCCCUCUUCACAUAUAUUUUAGAUUUCAUUCUAUUCUACACCAAAACAUGCAGAGCUUGCUUGAACUUUUUCACAGUACAGUGUCCUUCGUAUACUGUAACUUACUUUACCGGUACCUUAGUGAUAGACAUUUAGGCUGUUUAUAGUCUUUGCUAUUACAAAUGGUAAGAUAAGAAAUAACCUUAUGUAUGUUCUUUUAGACAUACAAGUGUGUCGGUAGGAUAAAUUUCUAGAUGUGGACCAAAAGGGAUAUGUGCAUUUGUAAUUUUGACAAAUAGUGCCCAUUUGGCGUCCUUGGAGCUGUACCAGUUUACAUCCCAGCAGGGUGGGACUGUGGGGGAGGAUCCUGGGCUGCCAUCCCCCUGAGAGCAUGUGGGAGGCCGGCGGGGGGGGGGGGGGUGUAGCCAGAUGGCCCUUUGCACUCUGUAUGGGACGAUCAUCUCUGCCCUGCACCUAAGCGGACCUCGGAUGAGCGUUCUGUGGGCAGGCCCAGUGGAGGCACAGGCUUCGAAACGGGAAGUGAAACAGAGCCCGCUUUGACAGCUUCUGAAGUUUGACAGCUCUGACGCCCUCCGUGCUGAGCAGGCUCUAGAAAAAGACGGCUCCUGCCAUCAAGGCCGCACAACCCCCAGGAGAAAUGACUUAGACAGGGACCAGAUUUCAUUCGUCCGGCACAUAAACAAUCCUCACAGGCUGGACAGGACCAACAGCCCAAACAGGAGGCAUGAGUACCUACUACGUAGCCAACCCUGGGCUCGACACACAGCACCAGGAUGAGGCAGUCUCUAGCGGAGGCAGUGAGAUGUAUUGUGGCAAUGAGACGUGCCCUCAUAAAAUAUAAACAGAGAAAUCCUUAACUCCUCUUGGGGAAGGCUGCCCCGAGAAGCGGCAUGUGGUCAAGGGCAGGAGUUGCAGGUCUGGAAGCCAGCAGAACCUCUCCGCGAGGUGGAGGCAUCUGCCCCAGAGGAGGUUUCUGGGAAGUGCCUUUUCCUUCAAGAGACUAAGGACCACAGCAGAGCUCAGGAAGGACCCGGGACCCUGUCCACCUUCCGUCCUCCCUGCUCGUUCUGAAAUACUUAGCUACGGGGCCGUCUUCGGGAAGUCCGCGUGCACUCCUGUCCCGUGGCUCUGUUCGCAUUAGCUCCAGGCCCCCCUCUCCCGCCAGGAAGCCCUCGGAGCUGAGGCACCGGAGCUCCAACCGUCCGCAUCUGCCAUGACUGGCACGGCGUUGUUUUCUGGUGUAGCACUCGGCUGAACGAACUAUGGAGAACACAGGCCGUCAUGUUGACGAUCCCGUAAGUCCUGGAGGUGGAGCUGACCCCAAGCCACGUCAAGCUGCCACUGCUGUGGCCUCAUUCCACCUCUAGACCCUUUCGGAGACAUGUUCCUUUCCCGGAUUUACUUGAGUUUCUUGGCAGAUUAGCUCCUUAAGCCUGACGUUACCGGUGCGUUUGUCUGAGUUUGAGGGUGGAAAAAUGCCGCCACACCUGAGUCACUAGAGAAUGAAUCAGUGUGGCCUUCAUCGGUGGGUGUGGCACUGGUCGUCACUGUGGCAGCUGGGGACGGCAGAAUGGGGACAGAGGGACAUGGGAAAUGUGAGGGCAGAGGGUGGGCCGUCCUCCUCUUUGCAUCUCCUCCUCAUGAUCUCUCCCUUGACGUCUGGCAGCGUGACACCAGCCGUUUGCGAAGUUCUCGGGAACCUCCCGGACACUGCUCCGCCUCGGCUCUCCUGCCACUCGGCCACUGUCCCUUCUCCUUUGCUGGUCUUCCACCUUCUAGAGAGGAUUUCCCGAGCGCCGUCUUUGGUCUUGUCGUCACGCCACCUCCCUGUCUCUCUUCACCCCCUGAGAACCCCUCCGUGCGCAUGGGCUCAGCUGUCGCUUCUGUGCAGGCGAUCCCCCCUGCCCUGGAUGCCACCUCUCCCUGACCUCGCCACUGGACUUGACCUCUAAGUUGCCGCUGCCUACUGGAUGUCUCCUUUUGGGAGUCCUGUCAUCGUCUUAAACUGAACAGGCGUGAAAUCGAGCUUGCUCCUCCUCCCAGAUUCCAGUCUUCUGCCCAUGGCAUCAGCCUUCUCUCACGCACCCGUGCUCAAAUCCUGAGUCAUCUUCGACGCCUCCUCCCCACUCCUCCCUUCCCAAACGCAGGCCUUGCCACCUGCCUUUGCAACAUCUCUUGCUGCUCUCUGUCCUUUGCGUUCUGACUGCUAGCCCAGCAUCUCAGCACCCAUGUCCUGAAUAUUUAAUAGCUUCUGCUGUGGUCUCCCUGCCUGCACUUUCUUCCCUGCGAGUCUUUCUUCCUACCUGGCCAGACAGAUUCUCCGGAAUGAUUAUUUUUAUCCUAUUUUUCUCUUGCUCAACAACCUUCAGGCGCUGUCUUCACUGUGGAUAAGUGCAGAUUCCUUCACCUCAGGCUCCAGGCCCUAUGUUUGGCCCCAGCCCUACUUGCUGGCGUUAUCCCACAUGACGUGAGUGCAGGCAUCAGAUUCCGUUCCGACACUUACGUGCUGUGUGACCCUUGGGCAAGUACUUAACCUCACUGUGCCCGAAUCUCUUCCUCAAAGUCUCUUUAUAAAGAUUUUAGCAUCUGAGAGGAUAAACAGCACUUAGAACAGUCUGGAUAUGGAGUAGGCACUGAAAUGCUAGCUGUUUAGUGCACCGAUUCUUAUCAAGCAAGUGCUGCAAUCUGCACGCCCUCCCCUGGGCGCACACGUCCGCCUCUCCUUGUUACCUUUGCUCUCAGCCCAGUCCCUCAAUCUAGAAUGCUCUUCUCUGCCCCUCUCCUCUUACUCACCCUUCAUGGGCCCCUGACCUCCCAUUUUGCUUCUGAUCAACGUCUCUUUGCCACUUCCUGCAGGGCUGCUCCGCCUGGUUGGGUGGUGCUGGGCGUGUCGAGCCAGCCGCAGGCCACUCUCGGCACAUCUUCCUGGAGGGGUCGUUUUACUUGACAAGUGAGUUCACCCAUUUGUAAUGCUACAGCAGCUACCUCAGUAAUAUCAUGGAGUAGAACACAAGACUGGCAGAAGGUUUUGAAGAAAACAGAUGCAACUAGUAAGGAUACUCAGGGGCGCCUGGGUGACUCGGUCAGUUAAGCGUCCGAUUUUGGCUCGGGUCAUGAUCUCACAGCUCGUGAGUUCCAGCCCCGCGUCGGGCUCUGCGCUGACAGCUCAGAGCCUGGAGCCUGCUUUGGAUUCUGUCUCUCUCUCUCUGUCUCUCUCAAAAAUAAAUAAACAAACA